UUGGAGGGCAAGUCUGGUGCCAGCAGCCGCGGUAAUUCCAGCUCCAAUAGCGUAUAUUAAAGUUGUUGCAGUUAAAAAGCUCGUAGUUGAAUUUCGGGAUCAAUGGAUCGGUCAUGCCGUUGGUAUGUACUGGUUUUAUUGAUUCUCACCUUCUAAAGAACCAUGAUGGCAUUAAUUUGUUGUCGUGGGGAAUUAGGACUGUUACCUUGAAAAAAUUAGAGUGUUUAAAGCAGGCUUACGCUUGAAUACAUUAGCAUGGAAUAACGAAAUAGGACAUCGCAUUCUAUUUUGUUGGUUUCUAGGAUCGAUGUAAUGAUUAAUAGGGAUAGUUGGGGGCAUUAGUAUUCAACUGUCAGAGGUGAAAUUCUUGGAUUUAUUGAAGACUAACUACUGCGAAAGCAUUUGCCAAGGAUGUUUUCAUUAAUCAAGAACGAAAGUUAGGGGAUCGAAGACGAUCAGAUACCGUCGUAGUCUUAACCAUAAACUAUGCCGACUAGGGAUCGGAUGAUGUUAAUUUUUUAAUGACUCAUUCGGCACCUUACGGGAAAC
rnacentral:rRNA from 1 species